rnacentral:rRNA from 1 species
AUGGCACUGGAGGGUCCGUCCGCGCAGGACGGCAUGGUCUGCAUCGUAUCCCUGAUCAUCUCCUGCCUCCCCCCACCCUUGGUCCCCGCGCCCGAGGCCGACGACUCCGAUGACGACCACUUCUCCCUCACCUCCUCUGACUUGGAGGAUGCCGACGCCGACGGGCCCGCGCAGGAUGGUGACGGCCAGGACCACUUCAGCCGCCUCCCGCGCAACCUGCUCUCCAACAUCAUGUCCCGCCUCCCCACCAAGGAAGCCGCACGCACCAUGGUCCUCUCCACCCGCUGGCGCUGCGUGUGGGCGGCGAGCCCGCUCCUUGUCGACGACGGCCACUUCAGGGCCGCCGAAGGGCACAGCGUCUUCGAUGCCGUGCGCGGCAUCUCGCUCUGCGUGGCCGCUCACCCUGGCUCCAUCCGAGCUGUGCGCAUCACCCGCACCUCCUUCUACGAGCAGGAGUACGCGCUCCAGCGCCCGGUCGCCGGCCUCGCCGCCAAGAAGAUCCAGGACCUCAUCCUCUUCAACCGCCCCUGGCCGAUCAACAUGCCGCUCCCCGAUGAUAUCCUCAGAUGUGCCUCCCUCAGCCGCCUCUACAUAGGCAUCUGGAACUUUCCGGACAUUCCCACCGCUCACCGGCCCGCCUUCCCAAACCUGCACGAGCUCGGCCUUUUCCACUCCAUGGUCGAAGACAAGAAAUUCAACGCCUUGCUCGCACACUGCCCUGAACUGAAGAUCCUCUCCUUUGCCCUCUCGUACAACUACCCUUCGUGCCUCCGCAUCAAGUCCCGCAGCCUCCGUGUGGUAUUGGAAUGGGUAUGCACCUUUGAUAAAAUCAUUGUUGACGAUGCCCCCUGCCUGGAGCGCCUGCUCUUCGAAAGCUUUUCCGAGCGGAGGAGGCCCGUCAAGAUUGUCCAUGCGUCCAGGCUGGAGGUGCUCGGGUUCUUGGACUUCCAGCUCCACGCGCUCGAGAUUGGUGGCACCGUCAUCAGGGCUGGGAUGACUAUGAAAGAUGGCGCCAUGCUGCCAAGUUUGAAGAUACUGGCUGUCAAGGUGCGGUUUUCGCACGACAAGGAGGUCAAGAUGCUGCACACUCUGCUCAGAUGCUUUCCUUGCCUCGAGACGCUCCACAUCAUGUCCAUUCCAUCCUGGUCAGCUGAUCGGGGCGAUUGUGCUGAGGCCUGGAAUCCCAUGGGCUCUUCCAACUGCUUCUCUCAUCUUAAGACGUUCGUCCUCCAUGGAUUCCGAGGCCUGGACCGUGAGCAGUUGUUCGUCAGUUACAUACUGGAGAAGGGGAUAAAGACCCUGGGCAUUGUCUGUGGUGACAGUGAUGGUGUGCUAGUGAAGGGCAAUGCACCAUCAGGUGGAAGCAGUGGCAGUGGUAUAUCUGUUUGCCCCGCCACCAGUUGCUGGAGCUUUCAGCACGCCAUCAACUUGUCAGUGGAGGACCCCUUCUGCGUGUUGAGGCGUGACAAGGCCCGCAUCGCUUCUUUUGCUGAGGCAAUGAGACUCUGCGCUAGUUUGGGUUGUUGA